AUACUUACCUGGCAGGGGAGAUACCGUGAUCACAAAGGUAGUUUUCGCAGAGCGAGGCUCACGCAUUGUCUUCCGGAUGCACUGACCCCUGCCAUUUCCCCAAAUGAGGGAAGUUCAGCUGCGUGACUUGUGGUGGGGGGGGCCUGUGCUCACACUUUCUCUCG